GCCACAGCCCGGCACGGAGGUGUCCGGCUCCGGUUCGUGGUGCCGAGCCUGCAGAUAUGGAGAGCAAGAAGGAUGAAAGAAGUAGGACGCUGUGUGCAACCUCAGAAGAAGGGCUGAAGGCCCGAGGAAAAGAAAAAAGGAAACGGAAGCGCAGCAGAAGCAGAUCCUCAUCUGUUUCAUCCACAUCGUCUUCUAGCAGUACAUCCACUUCUUCUUCCUCAUCACGCUCAUCAUCAAGGUCAUCUUCUUCCAGUAGUAGUAGUAGAGAUUCUCCUAAGUCUAAGUCAAAGAAAAAGAAAAAGGAAAAACACAACAAAAAGAAAAGGAAAAAGGAGAACAAAAUGAAGAAAAAGAAGGAAAAGAAGAAAAGGAAAGAGAAAACAGGACCUGUCCAACUUUCCAAGUUCUUCAAGAACAAAAAGAAGAAUGAAAACUACAGCAUGAUAACUGGAAAGAAAAUUAAGAUGAAAAUAAAAAAGACUAAAGAAGAUAUAGAGAGAGACCGGAACCGUGCCCAGCUCCUGGAAUUUCUGAACUCUGCCUUGUAGUGGGAAGAGUCCUCACCAAGGAUUGGUAGAUGUACCAAGCCAGCCAUCAUCCCAGCAGAACACUAAAGAGAAACUCAGGGAAAAGGACACGAAGUUGGACAAGACCAGACCCUCCUUCUGAGAAGAAAAUUGGGAUGUCCUUUCUUGAUGGCAAAACACAGAGUAGCUAAUAACUUGGUAAUGGAGAUCCAUGUCCUUUUGAGAUCAUAAG
rnacentral:lncRNA from 1 species